rnacentral:rRNA from 1 species
CCUACGUGUGGCAGCAGUGGGGGAUAUUGCACAAUGGGGGAAACCCUGAUGCAGCGACGCCGCGUGAGUGAAGAAGCAUUUCGGUAUGUAAAGCUCUAUCCGCAGGGACGAAAAUGACAGCACUUGACCAAGAAGCCCCGGCUAACUACGUGCCAGCAGCCGCGGUAAUACGUAGGGGGCAAGCGUUAUUCUGAUUUACUGGGGGUAAAGGGAGCGUAGACGGUUAUGUAAGUCUGGAGUGAAAGCCCAGGGCCCAACCCCGGGACUGCUUUUGAAACUGUGUAACUGGAGUACAGGAGGGGCAAGCGGAAUUCCGGGUGUAGCGGUGAAAUGCGUAGAUAUCAGGAGGAACACCAGCGGCGAAGGCGGCCUGCUGGACAGAAACUGACGUUGAGGCUCGAAAGCGUGGGGAGCAAACAGGAUUAGAUACCCUAGUAGUC